AGGAUCUCGCUGAGAUACAGUAGGGUUCUGGCUCUGGGGGAACUGAUUUGGAAGCUGAACAGCAGGUGGUAGGUUUUGUUGCGGAGCAGCUGGUAGAUUCUGUUGUGUAGCAGGUGAUAGAUUCUGCUGCAGAGCUGGAGGAGCAAUUGUGGAAGGAAGAGGAGGAACUGACCGCGGAAAAGUAACAGGAGGAGAAGGAUGCUGGAUGUGAGAUUGCAGGGAAGCAGAUGCUGAUUGGUGCACUGCCUCUGUGUGCACGGUGCUCCGGCUUUCUGAUGGCUGAUCUACCUUGGACCCUUGCAGUUUUCCAUGCUGCAUCUGAGCCUCCAACAUCUCUUGCUUAUCCUUUAAAACAAGUACCCCUGAUUGCACCUGCGUUUGAUCGACGACAAUUACCAUUAUGAGCAACAAGAGAAAAUAUACAAACAAAACCGUAUCACCCGACAAAACUUCAGCAUUUCAUAAUACAUCAAUGGAGGAGGAAAAAGGAAACAAAGGAAAAGAGGAAGCAGAGAGAAGCCUUCUAUAAUGAGGUCCAAACCAUCCAACACAAGAAGUACACUUAAAGAAAGAAUGAAAGAAUGAAAAUGUGUUUUGUCUAUCUGAGUUAUUACCACCUAAGUCGACCUCUUAGGUUUUAAUAUCUCCAAACCUGAUGCAGCUUUGACUAGAUCCUAGAACAAUUUCUUUUAAUACGAAAUAAAAAAAAAAUGACAUCCCAUCAUUCUGAAUUAUCAGAUUCCUACCUCCUUCAACAUGAUAGUCCUAAAUAAUCCAAUAUAAUUCUACCUGAUGAGCUGCCAAAACCAUAUAUUCAGCAUUGAAAAUCCUAGGCCCACUUCUGAUAUUGAAAUUUAACUUCACAUUGGGGUUAAAAUGAUGACAAAUUUAGGCACAUAAUUGUUGCUAACUAAUGCCAAAUAUGUUAACAUUAAGAGCAAGACAAGAUGGAAAGAUGAGCAUCUUUAGAUGAAAAUUGUAAAGAUAACCUCUUUCAGAAGAAAGCUAGGCUUGAUGACUUCAAUGUGGAGAAAAAUAUUUUAUGGUCUACCAAACAUGUAACAUUUCCAAAGAAUCUACCAUCUUCAAGGCACAUUAAACCAAGUUCCCUCAAGUUCUAAAAUCUAAAGGCCGAUUCUUAUAGAAUUGACAUAUUUGAUUAUAUCAAAGACAAGCAGCUUAUCAUGAAUCUGGAGGAAGCACUUUGCAAUAACUAAUGGGAGUAGUUGAAUGUAGAAAAGAUUUGCAUAGCAUCUCCCAUCAGAUGCAGUGCUUACGCCAUCCACCAUGCGCAUCUAGUGCAGAGGCGGUCAAGAUUGGAGCAUGCAAUAAGAGAAAGGAUCAAUGAAGAAGAUACCUCUCUCAAAAUAUUUUCCACCUGCCUCAUUUUUCCAUCAGUGCUUGCAUGAUUGCUUCCAACAGAUACCUUCAAAUCAUCAACAGAACUCUCAAGGUUGCGGGUUCUAGCAUCCAAUUGUGUUAGCCGUGCACUGACACCUUCAAGCACAUGCAGUAAAUUGUCAGCAUAUUUCUUCAUUGUUUGAUCAAUAUCUGAAACUAUGGUAGCAUCAGAGCGAUUUCCCAGGUUGAAUUUUGGGCAGUCAAAAUUGUCCAGAGAACCAAAAUUCUGUACACAACAAGGAAACAUAUAAAUUUAGAGUAAACAAAACAAGUUCAAUACAAAUGCUAUCAUCAUUGACCUCCUAGCAACACAGUAGCAAAAUUUACACGAAACUGUCCAUAACCCAAGCAAAGAAACAGAAAUCCAAUACAAUAUUAUUUUGUAAAGAAAUAAUAAAAAAAGAAUGAUUGAACUAAAUGCAUAGAGAAAGCACCAAUCAAGAAGACAAAUAAAGGAACUGAAAAAAGAUAGAUCUUCCAAUGUCCAAACACCAACUUGUUUGCACACAGACACCUAGAGAAGAGAGAUAGCUUAACCAAGGAAACAUAAAGAAUCUAAAAUGUAUGAGCACAAAGCCGCAGCAGGGCUGCCACUUUAGUAACAGUGUUUAAAACCUGAGUAAACAACAAUAGUGAGACCAAAAGACUCAGCUCCAAGCGUGACUAAAUCCAAGACUAUACUCAAACAGGGGGGAAAAAAUGCACACACAUUUCUGCAUAAUGCUCCUCACUAGAUUCCAUUGGCAGAUUCUGAGUGUAUUUUGGGUUAUGCUGCUGACUCCUAAUAUAUAUAACCGUUGUUUCAAAAGAUAAAGACAAUGCACUAGAUUUGGCUAAAGUGGACCCAAAAUUAAUCCCAAGUGUUAACAGUUAAACAAAGCACAAAACAAAUCUAUCACUAAUCGCAUUGCGUUCACCUAAUGAAUAGCAAUUCAUCACCAAUGAAACAAUAAAUUUAAUCCAUAAAAUAUCUCAUACGCAGACAAAAACAUCCAACAAUAAUCAAAACCCAUCUGGAUUACAAACAAAUAAAAGAGAGUGUGGAAUACUCACCCUCACCGGAGACAAAGAAGAGUUUGGUUUAUUCUCAGAAGAAUUCCAAACCCUAGCACCAACAGCAGCAUCGGUGUUAACAGAAGAGUCCAAAUUAAGAGACUGAGACAAGCCACCACGAAUCGGCAGAAAAUCGUAACUGGGCACGAUCUCUUCUUUCUUAAUCCCAAUCCCAUUAUUAUUCACAUCGCGAUCGUCCUCUUCGUGCUGCGGCGGACGAUGAUGAUUCGUCAGAUCCAUCAAGUCUUUGUCCAUGCUUGGCGACGACGUCAAAUCCAUUAUCUGCUUGUCCAUGAACUGCGAUGUAUUCAUCGCAGAGUGGAUGAUGAAUUGACGAUGAUGAUUGAGAGAUAGAUAGACAGAUUAUUAACAAGGAAGGGUUUGUUGGUUUCUUAUAGACGACGAAAAGGAGUAUCUGUUUUGGUUAAAUUUUGAUUAUAAUUUUUGAGUUCGGGUCGGUGACUCGGUGUCAGCAUCGUCGCUGCUGUUGUGCUGUGCUGCGUUGCGUUACGGUGCGUAGUUACUACAUUACGGCGUUAUCGAUAAUUCUCUGUUUAAUCGUAUCAUUGGGAAAGCAACAGUUUAGGAAAUUGGGCCGCCAUCAGGGCCCAAAUCCUAACCUUCUCAUUGUCUCAGGGUAUUAUCACACACCUCCCCUGAGUUUUUCCAAUAUUCCAAUUUGACGCGGAUAAUGUAAAAUUAGGCCGAUAUCUCCCCUUCUAGCAGGGAUGACAAGUUGACAACGAGGAGAUGUAGAGGCACCAAUAUGAUGAAAACAGUUUGUGUUUAAGACCAUUACACGAUUAGUGACACGACUAAUUCUCCAACAAAAAAAAAAGUACACAACUAAUUAUUUUAAGUUGUUUAGAUUUUAGUCAUAAAUUAUAAAUCUAUCAUAUUUCAACUUAAAAAAUGAAAAUGAAAAUAAUAUUAUGCGGCAAUGAUUACAAACAAUAUCCAAACUUAACAAAAUCCUAGAGAUGCAAAUUUAAUUGUACAAACAAAUACCAACAAUUAUAAAAUGAAACCAUUACAACACAAUAAUUAAUAAUUAAACUAAGCAGGACACAUGAUUUCCUUGACUUUGCUCUACUAUAAAUGGGUGGAGGCUAUGAAUCCAUGGUAUUGUAUUUUAAGGUUAAAAAAAAUGAUUAUGAAUUUAUAUUUCUCUUUAAAGAAGUGUUCACUGCUUCAAUGCUUUUUUCCUUAUAGACAAAUCUGUUAUGUACAAAACGUCGUUCAAAUUAUAGAAUUUCGGUAACCAUGUUCGAUCACAAUAUCAUUGACUCUAAAAACGUUUUCAAGUAUGUUGGGUGUUGUGAGGUGGUGAAUCAAGUUAGCUUUCCAAAAACGACUGCGUUUUGGAACUAUAAAAGCUUUGUUAGCUCACGUGCUGCUCAGCUGCUUCAUAACAGAAAACGAGUUAGACAAAACGAUAGGGAUCCAACGCAUUUUGGAUAACAGUUUUAAGUAACCAUGUGAGGAAGCAUGUGAUGGAGGUUGUUCUGAGUUCGUUAAAGGUUGUUAACCACGUGUCAACAAUCCGUACAAUCUGGAAAUUAAGCUAGCUAUCUAAACAUGGUAUAAAGGUUGGUUUUGGGGGCAAGUUCAGGGACGAUUCUAGAGUCUUGUAGUGAGGGUUUUGUGUGAGAGAAAGUGUUAUCUUGUUCUCUGUAAAGUUUGGUGCAAGGCUCUAUAACAAUCUCCAUUGUUGAUUCAAUAAAGCUUAUCUUGAGGCUUCUCUCGUGGAUGUAAGCUUCAGCUGAACCACGUAAAAUCUUGGUUUAUAUGGGUUCUUGUUUCUAGUUUUGUUCAUGAUCAAAUUCUUGUUCUUUUGUUACUGAGUGAGUUUAUCUGAUUAGAUCUUGGGUUUGUGUAACUUGUAUUGACUAGAUCACUAGCAUCUUGGGUAGUGAUCAGUCUAGUUUGAGUUUAAAAGACUUGCUGGUCACUACAGGUGUAUUUGUAUCGCUAAUUUCAUCAGGCACACUAUAAAAACAGUUAACUUUCUUAGUCACUAUGAAAUUAGUUUCAAAUUAUUGUUGCCGGCAUGGCAGCAUGCCAUCUAACCCAAAUAAGUAUUCAUUGUUACAAGGUGAAAAAUAAAAUUUCAAGUUAAAAUACAUUCAUAAACUAUUAAUGCUCGAACUAUGAAUGAGCUAACCGUCUCUUUGGUUAGUUUUCUUAUGGCCUUAGACAGUAGUGGCUCGACCUCUAGGCAACUUAGGCGGUUGCCUAGGGCCCCGUUUUACAUGAAGGCCCCAUGAGAUAAUUACUUUAUAUACAAAAGAAGAAAGUGAAUUUAAAAUUCAUUUUAUUCAUUUUAUUUCUUAUUAUUUGGUAAUUAUGUUUUCCUAAAUAAACUAUCAAAUUCGUUUAUUUAAUGUAGUAAUUAGUAGUUUUAAUUCAUACAAAACUGAUCAAUUAAUAGUUUCAAUCUUGCAAAUUCUCUAUUUCAUUGUUAGAAUUAAUAUGUUAUAAUUAAAAAGUUUUAUAUUCAUUUUAAACCUCUAUAAAAACCCCACAUUUAUUACUUUAUCCAUUAAAUUUUUCCUCCAACAAUCAAGACAUGAUAUGUUCUUAGUGUUUGAGAGAAAGAAAUAGAGAAGGAAAAAAAGUCCCACUUCCUAUACUUUCUACUCAAGAAGAAAAAUAAAAAAUCUAAUAGUUUUCUCUAUUCUCUAUGAUUAUUGAUCAUUACUCAAAUUCUCAAACAAUUAAUAUAAAGAUAAAGUUAAUUUAUGAUUUCAUCUCAAAUUUCAGAUUUUAUUUUUUUAUUAUUCUCUUAGUUAGUUGUGUUAUCUAUUUGUUCUUAUUUCUUUUUAAUAUAUUCUUUUAUUCAUCUACUUUGUUUUUGUGUGCUUGUUUUAUUAUUUUGAAGUAAAACUAUAUCAAAAAACUUUAGAAAAUAGAAGAAUAGAAAAAUUAAUGUAAUCUAGAAAAUGAGUAAUAAAAAGGAUGUAAAUUGAGUUAGAAAAACAAUGAGUGAAAAUUUUAUAAUUAAAUUAAAAUUUCAUGGAUUAGCAAUAGUAGAAUAAAAUUUUAUUUAAUGUUUUACAUUUUAGAGUGUUUAAAGAAUAGAUUUUCAAUAAAUAAUAUAUAACUAAUAUAUAUAGUUCUAAAUUUUAGGAAGAACUAAUUAAAAUCAUUUACCUUAGGCCCUAAACAUGGUUGACCCGGCCCUGGCCUUAGAGCGACUGACCCAACAUCUCUACGAUAUCUAUUGAUCCCGUCAAAAUCAAUCGUUAAAAAAGUGGUGAGUGAGCAACUUUUUAUGAUAGGGUAAUUAUCCACUGACCACUUGAUUUUUCCAUUUGUUUUAAAUACACAAUUUUUUUUUACAGUACUCCACCUGAAGUUAAUAUUUUUUUCAUUGGUCCACUCUGGUUAUAACACUGUUAGAACUUUGUUGACAUCAUAAGGAUAAAAUUAUCAUUUCACAACGACAUUGUUUGAAGACACAAGUAGAUAAGUGCAAAACAAUAUAACUUCAAGUGGAGUUCAGCAAAAAAAUAAUAAUUAAGAAUUGUAUAUUUUUCAAAAAAUGCAAAAAAAAGGUCGUUAAUGGAUAAUUGUCCUUUUAUAUUUGUGGGUAAAAAAAUUAUUUAUACAAUAUUCUGUUAGUUCUUUUAACAGAUUGAAGACAUAAGUGGACAUGCGCAGAAUAAUAUAAUUUCGAGUGGAGUUUAGCAAAAAAAAUUAAGAAUUGUGUAUUUUUGAUAAAGUGCGAAAAAAUAAAUGGUCAGUGGAUAAUUACUCUUUAUGAUAUUUGUUUACAGUAAUCCAUGUAAACUUCACUAAUUUUUUAGAGACAUAUAUUCCAUUAUAACUAUGACUACUCUAAUGUUCAAAAAAUACCUACUCCACUCACAUACUGGGACUAUUGAGGAAUAGCUACUGUUCAUAUUUCGCAAUUUUAACCUGAUGCCUACUUGACUGGGACUAUUUUUAAUUAAUCAUGUGAAGCAGCCCAAUUUUUAACCUUUGAUAAUAAUUAGGAUUAUACUAAUAUUCGAGAUAUGUCUACUCUACUUAUAUACUGAGACUAUUUGUCUACUCUAUUGACAUAAUGAGACUACUUUACAUUAUUAAUCUUGUGAAGCAGCCUAGAUUUUAACAUUCACUAAUAUUAUUGAGGGAUGCAUAUUCCACUCACUAUGCGACUCCUUGCUUACACUACUCACAUUCUAAGAUUACUUUACAUUAAUCUUGGGAAGUAGCCUAGAUUUUAAUCUUUACUAAUAUUAUCAAGGGAUGCUUAGUCCACUCACAUUUCGCGAUUUUAACCUAGUGCCUACUUUACUCAUAGACUAGGACUACUUUAUAUUAAUGUUGUGAAGUAGUCCAAAUUUUAACCUUCAUUAAUAUUAUCGAGGGAUGCCUACUCCACUCAAUUAUAUCAUAAUUGAUAAUUGAAUUAGACCCUAUAAUUCUUUUUUGUUUUUUCAGGUUUCAAACACUUGCUCUCACAUGUGUUCUCCCAUUUGGCCAAAGGCUUGUUGGUUGUUGACUUUGAAUAUCUAACAUUUGAUGAGAUGAAUUAUUUGAAUUUGUGUAAAAAGUUUUAAGUUAAAAUCCAAAAAUUCUUACUUUUGUUAUACUUUUUAAUAAACUUUUGAGGCUGUAACUAUGUUAUCUCGAAGCUAUUUAGAGUUGGCAAAAAAGUUCAGGCCAGCACAAGCCAAGCCCGCGGGAUAAAAUUAUGGAUAGAGGCUUCAAAAAUAUAAGGGCCGCUUAGAUUGAGUUUGGAUAAGACCUUUUAUAUUUGUAUAUAAAAAACAAUUCAAAUUGAAAAAAAAUGAAAAACUCAAAACCCAUUAACCUGAAUGAGUAAUGGCCACACGAGUCACACACACCCACCCAAAGUGCAGCAACAGCCAAUAGUGAACAGCCGCACCUGCCUUUGCCUCACACCAAAAUGGAGAUAUGAUUGAGCAAAAAAGUGUGACAAACAAAGACUCAGAUGAGAAAAUUGAAAAAAAGCCACGUUUGUCUUUUGUUCGUGGAGUUAUCACGCAGCUUGGUGCUGGGCUGAACACUAGAUGCCUUUCUUUAUUGAUUCUGGGUUUGAUUGCUAUGCUUUCAGCUUGCUGAGUCAGGUCAUUCUUUCUCUCCUAAUUUUUCUUAUUAUUAUUUUAAGCUUAAUUGGUUCUAGGUUUUAUUCAUGCACUGUUAAUUGGUUGUUGCAUCUGAUGAUUUUACUAUUUUUUGUCAAUCUUGAAACUUAAUUGGUUUGAAUUCUUGUGGCAAUAUCUGAUGACUGAUUUGAAUGGUUCUUGGCUUAGUAGUGUUUUGUUGCUUCAAUUUAAUGGGAUCACAGCAUAGAUACUAAGUGAAUACAGAAGAAAAUUUUAUAUUGCAUCUUAAAGAAAAUUAAAUGUGGAUGAAUCUCUACAUAAUUUCACUUUCUCUAUUUUUUAUUUUUUAAUUCCUUUCUAUUAAUCUGUAUAAAAAUAUAUUGUUUUUAAAAUCAAUUAGUAAUUGUUUUUAUUUAUUAUUUAAGUUAACAUUUUUUUUUGGUUAAGUGAAGCUCCUGACAAAAAACUUUUUACUAAAGAAAAAUUGAAGAAUAAGGAAGAAGUCGUUUGCAAAUAUUAGAUUAGUUUGUUUUCAAUAUUAGUAUUUGUGAUUUAUUAUGUUGUAUUACUAAUAUUUUAUAUAUUAAUUUAUUUUGUAUUGAGUGAUCAUCUUUAAUUUAAGUUUUUUAAUUUAUUAAAAAAUAAUUUAAAAAUUCAUAGAAACUCAAGCCCUUGGAUGGGCUUUUGGAGAGCCUAGGCCUAAUGACAACAACAUGGGCUUGGGCCUGGGUCCUAUAUCAUAUCCUAAGAUUUGGGCACUGUAAAAACAUCAUAUUUUGUUAACUUUUUGUCCAUGAGACAAUGCCUAAACAGUAGGGUAAAGGUAUUAGAGGUGUUCAGUGGUUUAAUUUUAUGUAUUGAGUUUUGUCAUAUCCAAGACCAAUCCAUCAUAUAUUGAAUUUUAUAUUUUGGAUAUAAUUUGAUCCAAUUAUUAUUUGAAAUCCAAUAAAAUCCAAAAUAAUGAAAAGCCAAAUCCAAUUCAAUCUAAUUAGAAUAAAAUAAAUUACAAAUAAAAAUCAUCAAUUACUUUCUAAAAUUCUAAUUACUAACAAUUGUAAAAAAAAAAAAAAUCAACUCUUUUAAUAUUUCAUGAUUCAUGUAUUCAUUAUCAUUUGGUUGAAAAAAAAAUUUUAUAUUAAAAGCAAAUACUAGUUUCGAUUUGCAGUUUUACUUUGUAUUAUUAUUAUAUACUUAUACAGAUAAAGCUAUUUGAACCCACUAGUAUAAUUAAUAAACCCUUUUUCUCACUAAACCCAUCAACAAAAUUUAAAAAUUUAUAUUUUACUCAACAAACCUACCUAUAUGCCAAAUAUACUCUUUAUAUAUGCUUGAAAAGUGAAAACCCAUCAUUGUUAAGCGAUCGUAAAUUCUUCAAUGGUUCAUUAAAAAAAAUAAAAAAGCACAGAAAUCUCUUUUACUGCAAAUUUAAUGAAAUGAAUGUUUCCGUUAAUUCUCAUACUUGCAACAACGAGCAACUAAAACAAUUUGAAAUAAUUAGUGAUUUGCGUAUAGUAAAGCACAAUUAAAGUCUACAAGAAAUGAGAAUUCAUAAUUUUUCAAGAAUUUUUUUUAGUCAAAAGAUAGUUUUGCAAGUUUGUAAAACUAAAAAGGUGAAUGUAGAGAUAAUCUUUAUUUUAUUUUUUGAAUUUAUCUUAUUUUUUGCAUUGCCUUAACUUAGGCUUUGCCUCUUCGGUAUUGUUCUAAUUAUUAUACUUAAGUCGUAUAUAGUCCUAUAAUUGCACCUAUAUGGCGAUGUAUUUCUUGAUCCAUUUAAUACAUGUUAUUUCUUGAUCAAUUUGAUACGUGUUAUUACCUUAAAAAAAAAAAGUAAUUCUACAUAGUUUUUAAGUAAUAAAAUUUUCAGUUUAAAUAUGAGUUUAUAAAGUAGUUUUGUAGGUUCAAACAGCCUUAUCCUAUACAAAAUUAGUUUUUUUUUAUAGAAAAAAUAGAUUUUUAAAAAUAAAUAAAGAAAAUGAAAUUAAUUGGUUAGAUUACUUUAUGUUGGAUUUGAACACAUGGAUCUAUAAACCAAUAGAAUAAUAUUAGAUUUUUCAUUUUAUAAUCCAAUUUAAUCAAAGGGUCACAAAAAUUAGAUUGAUUUGGAUUGAAUUGAUUGGCUUGAUAGGAUUAGAUUGGAUCUUGAGCAGCCCUAAGAAGUGUUAUAGGUAGACCAAAUUAUUAGAUGUAUUGUUACUUUGUUUAGAAUAAUAAAAUGGACAGAGUAUUUUUUUAAGGUCCAAAUAGUUACAACCCAAAAAUAGUACCCCAAAGCGUGAGUUACAAAAUUGCCCACUCUUAAUUAAUAACCAAAAGAAGACAAUAUACGAAUUAUAUUUGAGCCAUUGUGAUAUUAAUUGUACCGAGCCGAGCAGUUGCAUUUGUAGGCAAGGGUAGCCAGACCAAUUUUUAUUAAAUUACAACUUUAUUAAUUUUAUUUUCUAACAUUAUUUAUAAUAAAAAAAAUCAAUCUUGAGUAGUUUUAAUAGUGAGGGACGGUUUAAAGCAAUCGUGAACUGAUUUUCAUUUUUUUUAAUAAUAAUUUUUUUUUUUGUCCUAAUUUAUACACCCUUUAUCAAGACACCUGUUAAGAGCAAUUCAUAGUACUAAAUUAAAAUUUAUAAAAAUAUGCAUCACUUUACAUUUCAAUGAGUUUGAAAAGAUUAACAUCACAAAUUUAGAACUGGAAAAAUUUGCCUAGUCCAUCAUGGACAUCAUACUAGUAACAAUAUAUGGCAAAAGAAAUUCAAGACUUUGGAUGAAGCUAUUCAAAUUAAAGAAGAAGAGUAAUGGACAAGAACUGAAGAAAGAUGUUAGUAAUAAAUCUUACUGUACUUUUAUUGUACUUGAAUACACUUAGUUAAACUUGCUCAUAAUUUGGCAUCAAAAUGCGCAAUAUAUAGAUAACGGACUCUCAUUGAUAUAGCCUGAUCUAGCUCUAAAAUAAGUACUCAAUUACAGAUAAACCAGAAGGGCUAGACCACGGCACUUGAAUAGCAACCAUGUGGCCUUCAUACUCAAAUGCAACUUCGUUUCCAUCAAUCUUGCAAGCUCUUGGUUUCUCAGAAGCAAAGACUCUCAUUUCACCACUUCCCUUCACUCCAAUUUCCACUGAAUUCUCAUCAUCAUCGUAGGACAAAGACUGGAUUGCGCCGCCGGUGUUGAGCAUGUUCACCAGGCCAAUGGGAGCAAACUGCACGGAUGGCGAUGUUCCUCCAGGCAGCAGAGUCACAGGAGACACAGUGAUGAGCUCAAAACUGAAUGGCUCCAAUGAUAUCUCAAUGUUUUCAUAUGGCUUGGAGAUAACGAGCUUCUUGGCUUCUUGCAAGUACAUGGCAAAGACUUGAACCCCUUCAAUGGAAAUUGGGUUCUUGCCACUGUUCCAUUCAAUGUCUUUUGGGUUGGUCUUGGCUGUCACCUUUUGUGAAAAUUGUGAGGCACAUGUGUUGCGUCGGGCUUCCCUGCACCAGCCUCCUCCUUGGCAGUUAAAUGCCCCAAUAACUCCAGUGUACUGUUGCAAAAAUCAAAUAAUAAAAAUUAGCAACUAGGUUAUGUCCAUCAGGCCCAUCACAUAAGGCCCAAGUUUGUAUCAAAUGGUACCGAAGCCAAUAACAAACCUUGUUCAGGUUCCAGAUUUUGAGCAUGGUCUUGCCAUCAUGGAGAGGGUCAGCAAAGAGGCAGU
rnacentral:lncRNA from 1 species